rnacentral:rRNA from 1 species
AAUCAACGCUGGCGGCGUGCCUAACACAUGCAAGUCGCACGAGAAAGGGUCUUCGGAUCUGAGUAAAGUGGCGCACGGGUGAGUAACACGUGAAUUAUCUACCUUCGAGUGGGGAAUAACUUCGGGAAACCGAGGCUAAUACCGCAUAAUAUCUACGGAUCAAAGCAGUAAUGCGCUUGAAGAGGAGUUCGCGGCAGAUUAGUUAGUUGGCGGGGUAAUGGCCCACCAAGACGAUGAUCUGUAUCCGGCCUGAGAGGGCGCACGGACACGCUGGAACUGAAACACGGUCCAGACUCCUACGGGAGGCAGCAGUGGGGAAUUUUGCGCAAUGGGGGAAACCUUGACGCAGCAACGCCGCGUGGAGGAUGAAGUCUCUUGGGACGUAAACUCCUUUCGAUAGGGAGGAUUAUGACGGUACCUAUAGAAGAAGCCCCGGCUAACUUCGUGCCAGCCGCCGCCGUAA